UUCUUUAUUGAAUGUUACAUUACCCCCCCUUUAUUUCUAUUUUUUUUAUAUACAAACACAAAGUUUAAAUGAAUGUAAAACAACCUUUAAAUUAUAAAUAACUUUUAACAAUGGAUCUCUAGGCUCUCACAUCGAUGAAGAACACAGUGAAAUGUGAUAAGUAAUGUGAAUUGCAGAAUUCAGUGAAUCAUCGAAUCUUUGAACGCAUCUUGCGCCUUUUGGUAUUCCAAAAGGCACACCUGUUUGAGUGUCAUGAAACCCUCUCAUUAAACAUUUUUUUUUGUUAAAAAAAA
rnacentral:rRNA from 1 species